UAAUAUUUUUAAGUCAAAAUUUUAUAAUUUUAAAAUCGAGUGUAACAUUGACCGGUUAUGCUAAUCAAGUAUUUCUUAGAUAUUAUGAAACCCUAAAUAUGUUUUUUUAAACAUAUAAGAGUUGGGAGAGGAAGUUAAAAGUUUUUAAUUGUCGGCAAUAAAGUUUAUGAUGAGGAUCGCGUGAAAUAAGUGAUUGGCUUACUUAUAAGUAUAGAUAAAAGUAACUCAUCGAGCUGACAGUUGGCUCAGGCUGAUCGAGGAUUGUAGACAUGGAAAAAAUUACAACAAAAAAGUUGAUGAAAAAUCCUAUUGCGAAGGCUAAUCUCAUCAGCCGCUUAUUUUUUUGGUGGACUAUUACAUUAUUUAAGAAAGGAGCCCGAGAUGGAAUUACGGCAGAUGAUCUUUACACUCCGUUAGCUUCUGAUAAAUCGGAGACACUGACAGACAAUUUGGAACGGGAAUGGAAUAAGGAAUUGAAGAAACUGGAAAACAAUGAUAGUAAUAAAAAAAAUAAUGAUACACUUAAUAGUAAACAAUCUAAACCAAGUUUACUCCGAGCAGUCGUCAGGUCAUUUGGGCUGCAACUUUUAAUAUUUGGUAUAUUUCAAAUGAUACUAAAUGUUAUUCUGUUUAACUUACAACCAAUUAUUCAAAACUGGAUAAUACAGUAUUUUGAUGUUGAUAAUAACAAUUCAACAACUAAAAAUUCAGCACUCGGUUAUGCUGGUGCACUGACGACAGUUGCGCUGUUACUGACAUUCACAAUGCAUCAACUGAAUUACUACAGUCUAAUAAUAGGAAUGAGAUUCCGAGUUGCCUGCUGCUCGUUGAUUUACCGAAAAAGCUUGAAAUUAAGUAAGCCCGCAUUGGAUAAAACUCCAGCUGGCCAGAUUAUAAAUCUUCUUAGUAAUGAUGUCAGCCGUUUUGAUUUGCUUCCAUUGUUUAUCAAUUUUCUUUGGAUAACGCCUUUCCAAAUUUUUGUGGUCGGAUAUAUAAUUUGGCGUAAUAUUGGAGUUUAUACACUGGUUGGGUAUGGAGUGUUAUUCAUAAUAACAAUUCCAAUGCAAAGCUAUGUUGGAAUAAUCACUGGAAAGCUUAGAAAUUUGACGGCCAAAUUGACCGAUAGACGUGUCCAACUAAUGAGUGAAUUGAUUGCUGGUAUUCAGGUAGUCAAAAUGUAUGCAUGGGAAAAACCCUUUAACAAAAUUGUCACACUAACUCGGCUGAAUGAAAUAAAACAAAUACAUCGUUCAAAUAAUAUAAGGGGAAUGUAUUCAAUUUUAUCAGGAAUCAGUCAGAAGAUAAUGGUUUUUGCAACACUAGUGACAUUUAUGUAUGAUGGAAAUUUGUUAGAUCCGCGGGUCACGUUUCAAAUUGCUGUUUAUUAUAAUAAUCUUCAAAUACAUAUGGCGCUUUGUUAUCCAAUGGCGAUAAUUAUAUUCAUUCAAUCGGUUGUCGCUAUUAAGAGGAUUGAGGAAUUUUUGCUGCUUGAAGAAGUUACUGAGAGUACGAAAGUUUCUUUGAAUAGCAAUGAGUUUAAGGUGUCGGAAGUAAAUGUUGAGAAAGAGAAAAAAUCCAUUCCUGAAGCUGUAGUUGUUGAACUGAAUAAAGUUUCAGCCAAUUGGAAAUUUGGGCAGUUACCUCCGACACUUUGUGACGUAACUCUGAAGAUCAACGGCGGAGAACUUUGUACUCUUGUAGGUCCAGUUGGUUCGGGCAAAAGUUCUUUGCUUAAUUUGCUGCUGCAGGAGCUGCCAGUUGGCGCGGGAACAGUUGGGCUCUUUCAGUUCCCUCGUGAAGAGUCAGCUGAUGCCAGAUCUAAAUCUGGAUUUAUACAGGACAAUCCAGAGAUGAAAAUAUCGUAUGCAAGUCAAGAUCCAUGGCUUUUUACGGGAACUGUGAGAGAGAAUAUCCUCUUUGGGCAGGAUUAUGACAAAGCGCGUUAUGAAGAAGUAACGAAAGUUUGUUCAUUACUGCGAGAUUUCAAACAACUGCCUGAUGGUGAAAAGACAAUCGUUGGCGAACGCGGAGCUUCACUGUCUGGUGGUCAACGAGCGAGAGUCAAUCUGGCCAGGGCAAUUUACAGACAAGCAGACUUAUACCUACUAGAUGAUCCACUCAGUGCCGUAGAUGCGCGUGUCGCUCGACGUCUCUUCCAGGAUUGUAUUCUCGGCUACCUGAAAGGCAAAACGCGGAUUCUCGUCACCCAUCAGCUAAAUUAUCUCAAGCAAGCUGACACUAUUGUCGAGCUGGAACGCGGAACCAUAAAGCAUCAUGGAACUUUUGAUGUCUUGGCUGAGUCUGAUUCGGAAUUCGUAAAUAUGCUCAACAGUUUGAAUACUGAUAAGAAAAACGUAACUGAAGACGUGGAAGUUAUUCCGAGUGCUCAAAAAAAGAGUCAUUUCGUUCGAGAGGCCAGAAGAGUGUCUCAAGUUUCUAUUCGAUCUCAAGACAGUCACCGAUCCACAGUUAUUGAAGAGUAUGAAGACCCCGAUUCGAAAAAUGAAAUCCCCGGUGAAGUUUUAGGCACAGGGUUCAUUUCCAAAGAGGUUUACUUUCGUUACUUUCGAGAAGGUGGCGGAAUCAUUGGCGUUAUUCUGCUUGUCGUGAUAUUUAUUGUAACACAAGCUGCCUCUAUUGGUGUCGACCAAUGGAUGACUUACUGGACUACAUUGGAAACAUUCAGGCCGUGCAUUCAUGCCACGGGCAGUGGAUGCCACAACUUUGGGGACGAAUCAAAGGCUCUCGUGAAUAACACAGUAUUUAUAAAGUUGCUAGAUAGUGACGGGCUGUUACCUACCGCAUCCGCGAUCUACAUUUACGUGGCGUUGCUGAUCGUUUUUAUUGUGCUAUCGAUAUUAAGGUGCCACUAUCUCAUAUUGAUUGGCAUGAGAGCAGCACGAAAGCUCCACAAUCUAAUGUUUACUAAUAUUCUCCAAGCAACCAUGUACUUCUUCAACACAAAUCCUUCUGGCAGACUAUUGAACAGAUUCUCAAAAGAUGUUGGCGCAAUGGACGAGUUGCUUCUGCCGUUUAUGCUUCAAGCCUUUCUAAUACUUUUUGAUUGUGUUGGCACUAUCAUCAAUAUCAUUAUUGUCAAUCCCUGGAUGAUUAUUCUUACUGCGAUUGCUGGUUUUGUUUUUUAUGUAGUGACUGUUUACUACCUUAUAACUGCUCAAGAUGCCAAGCGAUUGGAGGGAACAACAAAAAGUCCUGUGUAUACACAUGUAAAUACAACUUUGAAUGGUCUAACGACAAUCCGAAGUCGGGGUAAAGAUGUCGAAAUUAUGUUACGCAAUAAGUUCGAUGAAUACCAAGAUGUUAAUUCCGGAGCAUGGUAUUUAUUGAUAGGAGCUGUAUCGGCGUAUGGUUUUAGUAUCGAUUUGAUUACUAGUAUUUUUAUUUCUAUAUUAAGCUUUUCAUUAAUCCUGAUCGACCCUGCAAACACUUUUGGAGCGUCAGUUGGCUUAGCGAUAUCUCAGUCAUUAUCAUUGACGGGUAUGCUGCAAUAUGGUGUAAAGCAAGCUACAGAAGUACAAUCGCAAAUGACGGCAGUUGAAAGAAUCAUUCAGUAUACUGAUUUACCAAAAGAAGGUCCAAUAGAGUCAUCGAAGCCGUUGCCAAAAAACUGGCCUUCAAAGGGACGGAUGCAGUGGAAAAAUGUCUACCUCUCUUACAAAGAAGGUGAUCCUCCUGUUUUGAAGAAUAUUGACCUGAUGAUAGAGCCGGGCUGGAAAGUGGGAGUUGUCGGAAGAACUGGGGCUGGAAAGUCUUCUUUGAUAUCAGCGCUCUUCCGACUUGUAGAUGAUGGACUUAAGGGGCAAAUAAUAAUUGAUGACAUUGACACGAAAACAAUUGGUCUCCAGGACUUACGAUCAAGUAUAUCGAUAAUUCCACAAGAGCCUGUUUUAUUUUCUGAAACUUUGCGAUAUAAUCUCGAUCCCUUCGACAAGUACACCGAUAAAGACAUUUGGGAUGCUUUGAGAGAAGUUGAAUUGAGUGAUUUGGCCCUCGAUCAAUGGGUCACCGAGGGUGGAACCAAUUUCAGUGUCGGUCAACGUCAACUCAUUUGUCUCGCCCGAGCUCUGUUAAGAAAUAAUCGUAUUCUUGUUCUCGAUGAAGCCACCGCCAAUAUCGAUUCUCGAACUGAUGCAUUAAUUCAGCGAGCGAUUCGAUCUAAAUUCGCAGACUGCACCGUUAUAACAAUAGCUCACCGAUUAAACACGAUCAUAAACAGCGACAGAGUUCUAGUUAUGGACAAUGGUUGUGUUGCGGAGUUCGACACCCCCCACGAACUACUGUUGAAGAAACCAGAUAGUAUAUUCUCUAAAAUGGUUCAACAAACCGGACCAACAAUGGCAGCUAAAAUAAUACAGGAAGUGGUAGAAUUACAUUAAAAUCAAGCAUCCCAACUCAGGGAUACCCAUUCUCCGGAUAAAAAUACUUCUGCAGACGAUUCUUUGUCUAUUUCAAGAUUUUAGCGAAAUCAAUAAACUAUUUCAUCACUCACUACUUCACGGUCAUCCAUCAUUUCCUUUAGAUUAAUCGAUCAAAUAACGUAACAGUACAAAGUAAGCAUGUAUCCCGAGAAAUGCGUGGUAAAAUAUUUGGCAAAUUCAAUGGAUUCCGCGGUUGCACGUUAUGGCUAACAGGACUCUCUGGGGCUGGAAAAACAUCCAUUGCAUUUAACCUAGAAAAUUAUUUAAUAAAAAACGGUAUUCCUGCUUAUUGUUUGGACGGUGAUAAUAUGAGAUCUGGAUUGAACAAAAAUUUAAACUUUAGCAAAGAAGAUCGUAAAGAAAAUAUACGAAGAUCUGCUGAAGUCGCUAAAUUAUUCGCUGACAGUGGUCAUAUAACGAUUUGUAGUUUUGUAUCACCUUUUAGUGAUGAUCGUUUUCUGGCGCGUAAACUUCAUCAGGAGGUUGGAUUAACAUUUUUUGAAAUAUUUAUUAAUGCAUCUUUGGAUGUUUGCGAAUCCCGUGACGUUAAAGGGCUUUAUAAAAAAGCACGUGAUGGUAUAAUUAAUAGUUUUACGGGCAUUGGUCAAGAUUAUCAGGUACCAAUUAAUCCUGAUUUAGUUUUAGAUACCGAAAAACAAACACUAGAGCAAUCAACAACAACUUUAAUUAAAUUUCUUGAGGACAAAAAAAUUUUGCCGACAUUACGAAAACAAAAUUAAUCAACAUUAGGGAUAUUAAAAACGUUUUUUGAGCUACUGGAUUAUAAUUUUUAUCUAGAAGUAUAUAAAUUUUAGGCUUUGAAAAAAACUAGAAACACAAAAAUGUACUUUUACUAAUUUUUUAAUUUUCACAUAAAAAUUCGUUGAUUAAAAUUUUUUUUCAGUCAAUUUUUAUGCUGAAAUAUAAAAAUUGUUUAAUGCAAAGUUGACAUUAGAAAUAAUUUAUUUUUUCAAUGAAUAACCACAAAAAAUAUAACAAUUUAUAAAUAUUGAACAAUAGAUUAUUUUAGGGCUUAGUGUUACUAAAAUGGGACAAGAAUCGAGUGUGCAGAUCGUCCUACGAAUUUAGUGUCAUAAAUUUGUAUUUAGGAAUCGUACUAUAGUCGAAUUUCAUUAACUCGGAGAGGUACUCUACGAAAAAGCGAAAAUUUCUUGAAAUUUCCAAGUUAACGGAUGCCCCUUCUCCUUAAAAAACAGUAAACUACACGCAUACCUUCUCGCAUCUACAUGAAUGAUGACAUAUAAAUAUAUGCGGACACAUACAAACGUAUAGCAUUAGUGGGCGAUAGCUUAGCUGGUAGUGGGGUCAAGAUUGAGGGGAAAUUCCGAGAUACAGUCGAACUCAAUUAACUGGGAUUACAUUAUCUCGUGACUUCCCCUGAAUCUUGAUCCCCACUACCAGCUGCACUGUCUCCCACCCAAUAAUAUACGUUUGUAAGUGCCUGCGUAUAUUUAAAUGUCAUUAUUCAUGUAGAUGUAACAGCGCAUGCGUGCAGUUCACUUUUUAAAGAAGAAGGGGCAUCCAAUAACUCGGAAAUUCGAAGAAAAUUCCGCUCCUCUGUAGACGAACUGUCUGAGUUAAUAGAGUUCGACUGUAUUAACAAAAUAGCUUCCAAAAAGGUAUUAUUUAAACAGUAGUUGAUAAUCACUGAGCUUCUAAAGAUCAAUGGUCUGUAAUCCAAAACAAAUAUGUACACAGGGUUGGAAAUUUUUAAAUUUAUUAAAUUUUAAUUCGUCAUUAAAAAAAAAAUUAAUAAUCAUUUAAUCAUUACAACAUUAAUUUAAUUUUCGAUAUUUGAUUUUAAAUGUUCUUUUAUUGGUUAUUUAAAGAAUAUUUUUAGGAGCACAUAUUUGAAG